AACAGGUCUAAAAGGUAUGGAAUGAAAAAGAUUGAUGAAAGAAAAGUUCUUUCCAAGGAAAGGGUCCAUGAUGGAUACAUUAGAAGUGAGGAGGAGGAUCGAGAGGGAAUAAUCCAGAGCAUAUGCCAAUCUAUUUCCAUGGAAUAUCCAUACAUAGUGUGCGGAUCACACAGAAUAAAAAGCGGCCAUGGAAGUUUUGGCAAAACGCAAAACUGAAUGGUGGCAAUGGAUGUGUUAGGAGGGUAUACCCUGUUAUUCUUCUCUACGUAGAGAAGAAUAACAGGGCGAUUCUCUUAGGGCAGAAAUGUUGUGUGCAUUUGAAUGCAUGAGUGUCGAUUUCUGCCAAAGGAGAAUUGCCCUACCAUUCUACUACUACAUUUGUUUCAUUUCACUACUUAAUUACCCAUACAUGCACUACGUUCUUUCUGGAUUUGUAUGUCAAAGAUGUCCUUACAAAAGAAACCGGUUUGAAGUAAAUACUUCAUAAUGACAGAAGUAUUCUGUUACUCCAUCCAUAAUAGAAGCACAUGGAGUUGGAGGUCCCUUUAUGCAAGGUUCUAUCAAGCUUUAGGCUAUUAUUAAUUAUGGAAAUUCUUGUUUUACAAAUUUACGUUGUACAUUACAAUGUAAAUUGUGUACAACAUUUCCACUUUUUGUAUAUCUACCACUCUUUGCAAAUGUGUAUAACAUUUUCACUUUUUAUGUAUCUACAAUUUAAAUUUGCGUUGCAAGUAUAAUGUGAAUAUAUAAAGGUCCUAUUAGUUAUUCACUA